UGAGGCAGGAGAAUUGCUUGAACCCAGGAGGUGGAGGUUGCAGUGAGCCGAGAUCGUGCCACUGCACUCCAGCCUGGGUGACAGAGCAAGACUCC
ensembl:miRNA